rnacentral:lncRNA from 1 species
UGUGAUCAAAAGGCAAGGGGUUAUAAAUAGAACCCCCACACCAGACCACAAACCCUAGCCGCCAGCCGCUCGCCGGAGAAGACGAACCAGAGGCCGACCGCCGCCACCCGCCGCCACUCGCCGCCGCACCGGGGAAAUUUCCGACCGCCGAUCGAGGUAAAUUUCAUACCCCCGACUCGUUUUUCCGCACUGAUUCCUCCUAUGGCCAAAUCGAAACCGAAAUCCCGGCCAAACGGCCGGAAUACGCGGCCGAAGCCCAGCGGCGCCGCCGCGCCCCCUCUCGGUUUUUGCCUCCGACGAGGCCCUUCCCGGCCUCCGUUCGAUGCAAUUUUUAUAUCACCGUGAUCACCAUUCUUUUCUCUACAGGUUGACCGGAGCCGAAUCACUAAAACACGAACCUCGCCGGAGAGCCGCUGCACCCGAGAGCGCCGCCGCCGGUAAGCUCCGUUUUUCCGUGAUUUUUUUGGCCCCCCGAGGGCCCUAGGGUUGUUUUCUGACAAGGACCAAUGCGAGUGUGGCCGAAUUCGGCCGAAAAACGGCCGAAAACAGUCAACCCGAGGCGACUCGCCGCCGCCAGCGGCGGCGCCGUCGCCGGAGCACGGCGGAGCCGCCGUGCCGGAGUUGCGAUUUGGGCCGAAAGAGGCCCUGGGCCUAAUUUGGAUUUUUUUUGGAACACGUGCAGGUACUGUUAGUGUGUUUCAGUUCCCCGGGAAAAAUUCAGGGAAAAUUAGGGACAGCCUGCAGGCGCACUGUGAAUCGUAUUCGGAUCUCGAAAACAAGUAAGGACCCCUCACCCUAUUUCCUAUCACGGUAUUAAAGUUCAAAAUGAUAAAACGGUAUUUCUUGAAUUAACGCAUGUGUGAAAUUGCUUAAGGUUGCUAAUGGAGCCCGAGUCUAGUGUGAUUGAUGAUUUACUGUUAUUUGGCCUGUUUUACAGCUUUAAAUGCAUUAUGGGGUUUGAUGUGUUCAUUUUAUAGUUUCGAAUGCAUAUAUUACUGUUUUAUUAAUUAUGGGUUGAAUGACUGAAGAACUGAUACUGUAUGUUGUCUGUUCGGCAUGAAUUACGAUUUGCUUGUUUAAAUGUGAAUUGAUGAUGCUUAUUGAGGAAAAAGGAAAAUGAAACAUUGUAUAGACUGAUAAUUGUAUGAUGGGGUCAGCCUGACUAGAUAUCCUGGGAGAUGGUGGACGGACCGGGUCCGUAGGGAACCCUACCGGGAUAGUGGUCUCACAUGCCGGACGGGGUAUGGAGAUCUUAUGGUUUUGGCGCCCAUACCGGACGGGGUAUGGGGACGGCCCGUUUCACCCUCAUACCGGACGGGGUAUUGAGGUUUAUGGUUUUGGCGCCCAUACCGGACGGGGUAUGGGGACGGCCCGUUUCACCCUCAUACCGGACGGGGUAUUGAGGUUUAUGGUUUUGGCGCCCAUACCGGACGGGGUAUGGGGACGGUCCUGGAAACUGAUUAUGAAUGUUAAAGGUUAACGGGUAGCGGAACCCCUAUGGACCCCCACGGAUACUAGUAGGCUAGUAAAUGAGAAAAAGAUAUGUUGUACAAUGAUUGAAUUACAAGAGGCGUGAUAAGUGUUAUGUUUUACAGCUUAGAUUAUUCAAUGAUUAUGAUGAUGUUAUUGUUUUUCUCAUAUUGUUUUCAUAAAUUCCACCAAGGUAAGUGGAUGGUAAAGGUUUUCAUGUUAAUAAACGAGUUUAUUGUAAAUUAUGCUCCAUUGGUCUUUUUGUGUUUUUCUACCCACCUCUACCUCCGUGACGGUGAGAUAUCGUGAUGUUCUUACUGGGCUAGUGUAGCUCACUCCUUAUUUAACCAUUUCAGAUCAGGAAGACAUGGUUCCCGAGCCCGUUCCGCAG